AUACUUCACAGUGGAUGUUGGAAAUUCUGUCGUGCAUUCAAUACUGUAUUCUUUAGUUAGCUGCAGCUAAAGUUCCGUGUGAAAACUCGGCUUUAUUUAUCAUAUUUUUCUUGUAGAAUGGUAUCUUACUGCUCUCUGCUGUAUAAAAGAUUCUUUAUGUGAUGUGUUGUGUGGCAUACCAAUAGUGAUGACGUUGACAUUGUCCUUUUUGACGUCACGCGCAUUCUGCAGGGUUCUCUCAGGGCACGUGGACUUGCCGUCUGUGAUGAUAAUGGCGAUCUUCUGGACCCCCGGUCUGGAACACUACAAACAAUCACAAGGACAGUUACGACAAAAGCACAUUUAACGUCAUAACAAUUACAAAACCACUCUUUUAAUUACGUCAUCAUCAUAUGCUUUCAUCCGUUUUUAAAUAAACGUGCUUUAACUAUGAU
rnacentral:sRNA from 1 species